rnacentral:rRNA from 1 species
UACGAAGGGGACUAGCGUUGUUCGGAAUCACUGGGCGUAAAGCGCACGUAGGCGGAUGUGUCAGUCCGGGGUGAAAUCCCGGGGCUCAACCUCGGAACUGCCUUUGAUACAGCACGUCUCGAGUCCGGAAGAGGUGGGUGGAAUUCCUAGUGUAGAGGUGAAAUUCGUAGAUAUUAGGAAGAACACCGGUGGCGAAGGCGGCCCACUGGUCCGGUACUGACGCUGAGGUGCGAAAGCGUGGGGAGCAAACAGG